rnacentral:misc_RNA from 1 species
GAUGAAGAACGUAGCGAAAUGCGAUAAGUAAUGUGAAUUGCAGAAUUCAGCGAAUCAUCGAAUCUUUGAACGCACAUUGCGCCCGCCAGUAUUCUGGCGGGCAUGCCUGUCUGAGCGUCAUUUCAACCCUCAUGCCCCUAGGGCGUGGUGUUGGGGAUCGGCCAAAGCCCGCGAGGGACGGCCGGCCCCUAAAUCUAGUGGCGGACCCGUCGUGGCCUCCUCUGCGAAGUAGUGAUAUUCCGCAUCGGAGAGCGAUGAGCCCCUGCCGUUAAACCCCCAACUUUCCAAGGUUGACCUCAGAUCAGGUAGGAAUACCCGCUGAACUUAAGCAUAUCAAUAAGCGGAGGA